GUAAAGGUUUCGACAGGGAAUCUGCAGGUGGAGAAGCUAUCCGAAGCCGAUCGUCAAACGGCAAACCUAAAUAUAAACGCUAAUAAUAAUAGAGAAUUAGCUCUGGCUGCCUAAACGCAGCCAGCGUCGCCUCACUUGUACCCAUGCUCGUGAGAUACGGCGUCGAGAUCAUGGGAAACGACACGGAGAGGGCCAUGGCUCCGCGGGCGUAUCAGUGGAUACCGAUGACACAGGAUUGCUGAUUGUCCUGUUUCGUGAGGGAAGCGCCGUAAGGCACAACAACCAGCUACGAUAGUAGAAGGACACUGAAUGGUUUUUUGGACACGGGUUCGACUCCCGUCUAAUCCAC
rnacentral:tmRNA from 1 species